UGCAGUCGAACGCUUCUUUUUCCCCGGAGCUUGCUCCACCGGAAAAAGAGGAGUGGCGAACGGGUGAGUAACACGUGGGUAACCUGCCCAUCAGAAGGGGAUAACACUUGGAAACAGGUGCUAAUACCGUAUAACAAUCGAAACCGCAUGGUUUUGAUUUGAAAGGCGCUUUCGGGUGUCGCUGAUGGAUGGACCCGCGGUGCAUUAGCUAGUUGGUGAGGUAACGGCUCACCAAGGCGACGAUGCAUAGCCGACCUGAGAGGGUGAUCGGCCACAUUGGGACUGAGACACGGCCCAAACUCCUACGGGAGGCAGCAGUAGGGAAUCUUCGGCAAUGGACGAAAGUCUGACCGAGCAACGCCGCGUGAGUGAAGAAGGUUUUCGGAUCGUAAAACUCUGUUGUUAGAGAAGAACAAGGAUGAGAGUAACUGUUCAUCCCUUGACGGUAUCUAACCAGAAAGCCACGGCUAACUACGUGCCAGCAGCCGCGGUAAUACGUAGGUGGCAAGCGUUGUCCGGAUUUAUUGGGCGUAAAGCGAGCGCAGGCGGUUUCUUAAGUCUGAUGUGAAAGCCCCCGGCUCAACCGGGGAGGGUCAUUGGAAACUGGGAGACUUGAGUGCAGAAGAGGAGAGUGGAAUUCCAUGUGUAGCGGUGAAAUGCGUAGAUAUAUGGAGGAACACCAGUGGCGAAGGCGGCUCUCUGGUCUGUAACUGACGCUGAGGCUCGAAAGCGUGGGGAACAGGAUUAGAUACCCUGGUAGUCCACGCCGUAAACGAUGAGUGCUAAGUGUUGGAGGGUUUCCGCCCUUCAGUGCUGCAGCUAACGCAUUAAGCACUCCGCCUGGGGAGUACGACCGCAAGGUUGAAACUCAAAGGAAUUGACGGGGGCCCGCACAGCGGUGGAGCAUGUGGUUUAAUUCGAAGCAACGCGAAACUUACCAGGCUUGACUCCUGACCACUAGAGAGCUUCCCUGGGCAAAGUGACAGGGGGCAUCGUCAGCUGCGAGUUCCCACCGCACCUUUAUGUCAUUUAU
rnacentral:rRNA from 1 species